UUUUCCAACAACUUUAACGAUCAAGGAAUGAUGAGGAGGAUAGUAAGGAGUUGGGGGUGGUGGUGAAGUGUAGUAGUAAGGUGGAGGAGGUGACUUAACUGGUGGUGGAGGGGAGGAGUAGUAGUAAGGUGGAGGAGGUGACUUAACUGGUGGGGGAGGGGAGGAGUAGUAGUAAGGAGGAGGAGGUGACUUAACUGGUGGUGGAGGGGAAGAGUAGUAGUACGGUGGUGGAGGUGACUUAACUGGUGGUGGAGGAGAGGAGUAGUAGUACGGUGGAGGAGGUGACUUAACUGGUGGUGGAGGGGAGGAGUAGUAGUACGGUGGAGGAGGUGACUUAGCAGGUGGUGGUGGGGACUUGUAAUAGUAAGGUGGUGGGGGAGAGGGUGAAGGGGGUGGUGGUGAUUUAUAGUAGUAUGGUGGAGGUGGUGAUGGAGAAGGUGGUGGGGGAGACUUGUAAUAAUAAGGUGGAGGUGGUGAAGGUGAAGGUGGUGGCGGGGAUUUGUAGUAAUAUGGUGGUGGAGGUGAUGGUGAAGGAGGUGGUGGUGAUUUAUAUACAUAUGGUGGUGGUGGAGAUGGUGAUGGAGGUGGUGGCGACUUGUACACAUACGGCGGUGGAGGAGAUGGUGAAGGAGGAGGUGGCGACUUGUAAACGUAUGGAGGUGGUGGAGAUGGUGAAGGAGGUGGCGGUGAUUUAUACACAUAGGGUGGUGGUGGAGAUGGUGACGGUGGUGGUGGAGACUUGUACUCAUAAGGCGGUGGCGGAGAAGGAGAAGGAGGGGGUGGUGACUUGUAUUCGUAAGUUGGUGGUGGGGGAGA
rnacentral:lncRNA from 1 species